CGACCACAGACGCUGCUUCGGAGCCAGCGGCCUGGACGGAAGGUGGGAGCCGGGGCGAGGGGAGCCGCCGGAGAGGGAGGCGGCCAGGAAAUGCUCCGCGUCAGGCCGUCGGGGCUCGGCUGGCGCUGGAGAUCCCGGCAACUAGCGUCUGGGACGGAGAGGCCGCACUCUGAGGAUUAAGGGAGCCGAGGGCGGCCUGGAACGGGGAAGGCGGCGCUGACGGAGACGGAAUGUGGGACGAAGGACAGCGGGAGGCACCGACGCGCAACUGCCCCAGCCGCGCGGAUGGCACGGACCGACCGCCCUGCCACCCCCAGCCCGAGACGCCCCGCCGCCCCGCUCCUGUAGCUGAGAGCCGAGCAGCUCUCAGCCCCAGUCCGUCCGCUCCGUACCUCGCCCGCGUCUCCGCCGGCGUCCAAACCACCGCUCGCCCGCUUCGCCCGGGUAGGUCUGGGCUCCGCGGCCAGCUCCCGCCUCACACCCACCCUCCUGCUCGCCCCGCCCCCGGCACCGCCAGCGAACGCACGUUACGCGCGGCGCGUAAACGUCACUUCCGGGGCCUUUGACUCUGGACGGGAGGAAGUGCGAGUGGAUCCAAAGGGUCGAGCGGAGUGGGGUACCGCCCUGACGCCCAAGAGCAAAUGGAAGAGGGCGGCCUCCGGGGUAAAGGUGGGGCGCUGGGGAGCCCCGGAGAAACCGGCGUUUCCUAGUCUGUCGCUCAGUCCCUGCUUCCGGCUUCCGACGCGCAACAGCUGGAGGGCGACGCUGGCUCCGCGGCGACUCCUGGGGCUGCGGCCGCGGUGGUAGCGCGAAUGGGAGGUGGAGCGGAGCUACUGCGCCGAGGGACGCUUCAGAAACUCUGUUUCAGUCCUUCGCGGAUCCUAGGAUGUGACAGGUGUUCGAGUUAAAAGGUCUUAAGGCGAUCGGUUGAUCCAAAAGCAGCUGAAUCUUUAGGAGGCCCAGGCAGGAGGAUCGCUUGAGUCCAGGAGUUCGAGACCAGCCUGGGCCACAGAGCAAGGUCACCAUCUCUACAAAAGAAAUUUUACAAAUCAGCCGGACAUGAUGGCGGGCACCUGUGGUCCCAACUACCAGGGAGGCUGAGGUGGGAGGAUCGCUUGAUAGCCCAGGAAGUUGACGGUGCAGAGAUCCCUCCACUGAACUCCAGGCCGGGUGACAGCAGAGCGAGAUCCUGUCUCAAAAAAAACAUAACCGACAUCCAGAAGUGAAAUAAAUUAGCCAGUGUCACAAAGUAUUAAUGGUUGAGUCACAAAUUGAAUC
rnacentral:lncRNA from 1 species